rnacentral:misc_RNA from 1 species
AGGAAGUUAUAAUUGGCAUUUUAGGGGAUUUGUAUCAAUGAAAUAAAGGUCAGCUAAAGAAGAAAGCAGUCAUAGAAAUCACAAUAUUGCAGAUCUGACUUAAUGAACCAGAAGCUGAGCAAAAUCCCAAAAAAUGUUAGUGUUGGAUACCCCAAACAGCCAAGGAAGGAGACAAAGUCAGAAAAGAAAGGAGUAGAAAGAAGAGAAGGAACUUGAGUGUAAAACCAAGUGGCACAAAGAAAAGAAUGAAUUAGAAUAGGGGUAAGAGGAUAAGAGAAGUGAAAAAGAAAAGUUGGGUUUAUUUCAGAAAAGAAAAGAACUAAUAUGGUGUUUGGUUUAGUCAUUGAAGGCCACCUAAUAGCUUUUUAACCUCCAACAGCUAGGUCAAG